rnacentral:rRNA from 1 species
UGGGGAAUAUUGCACAAUGGGCGCAAGCCUGAUGCAGCCAUGCCGCGUGUAUGAAGAAGGCCUUCGGGUUGUAAAGUACUUUCAGCGGGGAGGAAGGGAGUAAAGUUAAUACCUUUGCUCAUUGACGUUACCCGCAGAAGAAGCACCGGCUAACUCCUUGCCAGCAGCCGCGGUAAUACGGAGGGUGCAAGCGUUAAUCGGAAUUACUGGGCGUAAAGCGCACGCAGGCGGUUUGUUAAGUCAGAUGUGAAAUCCCCGGGCUCAACCUGGGAACUGCAUCUGAUACUGGCAAGCUUGAGUCUCGUAGAGGGGGGUAGAAUUCCAGGUGUAGCGGUGAAAUGCGUAGAGAUCUGGAGGAAUACCGGUGGCGAAGGCGGCCCCCUGGACGAAGACUGACGCUCAGGUGCGAAAGCGUGGGGAGCAAACAGG